rnacentral:rRNA from 1 species
GACGAACGCUGGCGGCGUGCUUAACACAUGCAAGUCGAACGGAAAGGCCCUGCUUUUGUGGGGUGCUCGAGUGGCGAACGGGUGAGUAACACGUGAGUAACCUGCCCUUGACUUUGGGAUAACUUCAGGAAACUGGGGCUAAUACCGGAUAGGAGCUCCUGCUGCAUGGUGGGGGUUGGAAAGUUUCGGCGGUUGGGGAUGGACUCGCGGCUUAUCAGCUUGUAGGUGGGGUAGUGGCUUACCAAGGCUUUGACGGGUAGCCGGCCUGAGGGGGUGACCGGCCACAUUGGGACUGAGAUACGGCCCAGACUCCUACGGGAGGCAGCAGUGGGGAAUAUUGCACAAUGGGCGGAAGCCUGAUGCAGCAACGCCGCGUGCGGGAUGACGGCCUUCGGGUUGUAAACCGCUUUCGCCUGUGACGAAGCGUGAGUGACGGUAAUGGGUAAAGAAGCACCGGCUAACUACGUG